GCACCUACGGGUGGCAGCAGUGGGGGAUAUUGCACAAUGGGGGGAACCCUGAUGCAGCGACGCCGCGUGGGUGAAGGAGCGUUUCGGCGCGUAAAGCCCUAUCGGCAGGGAAGAAGGAGGACGGUACCUGACUAAGAAGCCCCGGCUAACUACGUGCCAGCAGCCGCGGUAAUACGUAGGGGGCAAGCGUUAUCCGGAUUUACUGGGCGUAAAGGGAGCGCAGGCGGCGCGCCAAGUCUGAUGUGAAACCCCGGGGCUCAACCCCGGGCAUGCAUUGGAAACUGGCGGGCUGGAGGGCCGGGGAG
rnacentral:rRNA from 1 species